GCAAGGAAUAUUGGGCAAUGGGCGAAAGCCUGACCCAGCGACACCGCGUGGGGGAAGAAGACCUUCGGGUUGUAAACUCCUUUUAUUGGGGAAGAAUAAUGACGGUACCCAAUGAAUAAGCCCCGGCUAACUACGUGCCAGCAGCCGCGGUAAUACGUAGGGGGCAAGCGUUAUCCGGAUUUACUGGGCGUAAAGCGGGUGUAGGUGGCCUGUCAAGUCAGAUGUGAAAUCUCCUGGCUCAACUGGGAGGGUGCAUUUGAUACUGAUGGGCUAGAGUGCAGCAGAAGAAGAUGGAAUUCCCGGUGUAGUGGUGAAAUGCGUAGAUAUCGGGAAGAACACUAGUGGCGAAGGCGGUCUUCCGGGCUGUAACUGACACUGAGACCCGAAGGCGUGGGGAGCAAACAGGAUUAGAAACCCCGGUAGUCC
rnacentral:rRNA from 1 species